rnacentral:rRNA from 1 species
AUUGAACGCUGGCGGCAGGCUUAACACAUGCAAGUCGAGCGAGCGGCGGACGGGUGAGUAAAAUAUGGGGAAAGCCCGAUAGAGGGGGAGAACGACUGGAAACGGUAGCUAAUACCGCAUACUAUCGGAUAACCCAUAUGGGAUUAGAGAGUUGGUGAGGUAAUGGCGCACCAAGGCGACGAUCCCUAGCUGGUCUGAGAGGAUGAUCAGCCACACUGGGACUGAGACACGGCCCCUACUCCUACGGAGGCAGCAGUGGGGAAUAUUGCACAAUGGGCGCAAGCCUGAUGCAGCCAUGCCGCGUGUGUGAAGAAGGCCCUAGGGUUGUAAAGUACUUUCAGUCGGGAGGCGUUACCGACAGAAGAAGCACCGGCUAACUCCGUGCCAGCAGCCGCGGUAAUAC